CCGAUAAUUACAUAUUGUUCUCGUAUAACCUCGCAGCCAUCAGGUACAUCAGGGCGAGGGUUUCUACAGGAAGCCUACUCUUCCUAACUACGAUGAUAAGGACUUUGUUA
rfam:Paenibacillus sp. IHB B 3415 contig_051, whole genome shotgun sequence.